rnacentral:rRNA from 1 species
UACGUAGGGGGCAAGCGUUGUCCGGAUUCAUUGGGCGUAAAGAGCUCGUAGGCGGCUUGGCAAGUCGGGUGUGAAACCUCCAGGCUCAACCUGGAGACGCCACCCGAUACUGCUAUGGCUAGAGUCCGGUAGGGGACCACGGAAUUCCUGGUGUAGCGGUGAAAUGCGCAGAUAUCAGGAAGAACACCCGUGGCGAAGGCGGUUCUCUGGGACGGUACUGACGCUGAGACGCGAAAGCGUGGGGAGCGAACAGG